UUGACUCACAAAUGAGAAUCGUUAUGAUUAUCACAACUGGUCGCGAGAUCAGCCGAUAACUGAAAGACCAUUGGUUCGGACUCUCAGAUUAUCUCCUCAUCAGGCUAAUCACGGUUAUUUGACCCGGCUCUUGCCGGGUCUUUUUUUG
rnacentral:sRNA from 1 species